rnacentral:rRNA from 1 species
UCGAUACGCGAAAGAGGGCUUUCGGCCCUGAGUAGAGUGGGCAGACGGGUGAGUAACGCGUGGGUGACCUACCCUCGAGCGGGGGAUAACGUCCCGAAAGGGACGCUAAUACCGCAUGACAUCCUGCCCUUGGACGGGCGGUGAUCAAAGCCGGGGAUCGCAAGACCUGGCACUUGAGGAGGGGCCCGCGUCCGAUUAGCUAGUUGGUGGGGUAAUGGCUCACCAAGGCUUCGAUCGGUAGCCGGCCUGAGAGGGCGGACGGCCACACUGGGACUGAGACACGGCCCAGACUCCUACGGGAGGCAGCAGUGGGGAAUUGUUCGCAAUGGGCGCAAGCCUGACGACGCAACGCCGCGUGGAGGGAUGAAGAUUUUCGGAUCGUAAACUCCUGUCGAAUGGGACGAAUGGCCCGGCCGUGAAUAGCGGCCGGGAAUGACGGUACCGUGAGAGGAAGCCCCGGCUAACUCCGUGCCAGCAGCCGCGGUAAUACGGGGGGGGCAAGCGUUGUUCGGAAUUACUGGGCGUAAAGG